rnacentral:lncRNA from 1 species
GGUACUGUGAGCGUGUUUCAGUUCCCCGGGAAAAAUUCAGGGGAAAAUUAGGGACAGCCUGCAGGCGCACUGUGAAUCGUAUUCGGAUCCCGAAAACAGGUAAGGACCCCUCACCCUAUUUCCUAUCACGGUAUUAAAGUUCAAAAUGAUAAAAUGGUAUUUCUUGAAUUAACGCAUGUGUGAAAUUGCUUAAGGUUGCUAAUGGAGCCCGAGUCUAGUGUGAUUGAUGAUUUACUGUUAAUUGGCCUGUUU